CCUACGGGUGGCAGCAGUCGAGAAUCAUUCACAAUGGGGGAAACCCUGAUGGUGCGACGCCGCGUGGGGGAAUGAAGGUCUUCGGAUUGUAAACCCCUGUCAUGUGGGAGCAAAUUAAAAAGAUAGUACCACAAGAGGAAGAGACGGCUAACUCUGUGCCAGCAGCAGCGGUAAUACAGAGGUCUCAAGCGUUGUUCGGAAUCACUGGGCGUAAAGGGUGCGUAGGCUGUUUCGUAAGUCGUGUGUGAAAGGCGCGGGCUCAACCCGCGGACGGCACAUGAUACUGCGAGACUAGAGUAAUGGAGGGGGAACCGGAAUUCUCGGUGUAGCAGUGAAAUGCGUAGAUAUCGAGAGGAACACUCGGGGCGAAGGCGGGUUCCUGGACAUUAACUGACGCUGAGGCACGAAGGCCAGGGGAGCGAAAGGGAUUAGAUACCCCAGUAGUC
rnacentral:rRNA from 1 species